UACGUAGGGCGCAAGCGUUGUCCGGAAUUAUUGGGCGUAAAGAGCUCGUAGGUGGUCUGUUACGUCUGCUGUGAAAACCCGAGGCUCAACCUCGGGCCUGCAGUGGGUACGGGCAGACUAGAGUGCGGUAGGGGAGAUUGGAAUUCCUGGUGUAGCGGUGGAAUGCGCAGAUAUCAGGAGGAACACCAAUGGCGAAGGCAGAUCUCUGGGCCGUAACUGACGCUGAGGAGCGAAAGCAUGGGGGAGCGAACAGG
rnacentral:rRNA from 1 species